rnacentral:misc_RNA from 1 species
GGACAUUUGAUAUAACGCACUAAUCAAGCCUUAUAUUUUCAAAGUCACAUAAUUUAAUUCUUCAUAUUUAAUAAAGUCUUGCUCCCUGGCAAGUUUUCAUCUUGUACAUACAAAAUAUCAAGCAGGAAGCCAGUACCCUCCUAAAGUGCAACAGCAGAACCCACACAAAGAUUUUAACUUGCAUGAACCUAUGACCAACCAAAAAUAUAAUCAAGAACAUAGACC